CAUUUUACAUGUUUGGCCAAAUUGAGUAGAGCUGAAAAGAAUGAUUUCUUCAGCAUAAACUGCAGUACCAGAACAAAUGAAACUAGUCCAGCACCUUGGUAUGAGCAUGUUGUACUACUAAUGUUGUAUAAUGAAGAUAAAGUAUUAACUAAAUAAAGAAACCAAAUUUAAGCGGAAGAGUUUGUUUCGUCUCUAGAAAGAUGAGUGCUCCAAGAUGUCCCAUUGGUCUUAUCACAGAGCAUCGUGGAUGAUAAAGAAUGUUGAGUCACCGAAUAUUCUAAUCUCUAAUAUUAAUAUUGUUGAAUGUAUCAAUGAUACAUUUAAAAAUA